rnacentral:lncRNA from 10 species
AAAUAGUCACCUUGCCAUACCUACCUAGCUGCAAGGGAGGCUGACAAAUGCAGGGUUAAGCUGAUAUUCAUGUUAAUGCCCAUCAGGAAAUUCAGUUACUCUAUAUAGAGGAGAAAAGGAACAAUCCCUGCCACAUGACAAGCCCUUCCCUCCAGCCUCAUCUCCCACCUGCUGCCUCCAGAAAUUUACUCUCUGGCAGCACUUAACCACUUGUAGAUUCCCAGCAGCCAUGAUCUAUCUCACCCUGCACCUUAGCAUGUGCUGCUCCCUCUGCCGGGAAUACCCUUCCCAGUCUGACUCCCUGUAAGUCCUCCUCAUCCUUCAAGUCUCAGGUCAAGGGAGGCCUCUUCCAUCCUGCCUCUGCCACCUGCCCCAGCUG